rnacentral:rRNA from 1 species
AGUGAACGCUGGCGGUAGGCCUAACACAUGCAAGUCGAACGGCAGCACAGUAAGAGCUUGCUCUUACGGGUGGCGAGUGGCGGACGGGUGAGGAAUACAUCGGAAUCUACUUUUUCGUGGGGGAUAACGUAGGGAAACUUACGCUAAUACCGCAUACGACCUACGGGUGAAAGCAGGGGAUCUUCGGACCUUGCGCGAUUGACUGAGCCGAUGUCGGAUUAGCUAGUUGGCGGGGUAAAGGCCAACCAAGGCGACGAUCCGUAGCUGAUCUGAGAGGAUGAUCAGCCACACUGGAACUGAGACACGGCCCAGACUCCUACGGGAGGCAGCAGUAGGGAAUAUUGGGCAAUGGGCGCAAGCCUGACCCAGCCAUACCGCGUGGGUGAAGAAGGCCUUCGGGUUGUAAAGCCCUUUUGUUGGGGAAGAAAAGCAGCAGGUUAAUACCCCGCUGUUCUGACGGUACCCAAAGAAUAAGCACCGGCUAACUUCGUG